rnacentral:rRNA from 1 species
CGCGUAGGCGGUGCUGUAAGUCUGUGGUGAAAUCUCUGGGCUCAACUCAGAGUCUGCCAUAGAAACUGCAGUGCUGGAGUGUGGGAGAGGUGAGUGGAAUUCCCGGUGUAGCGGUGAAAUGCAUAGAUAUCGGGAGGAACACCUGUGGCGAAAGCGGCUCACUGGACCACAACUGACGCUGAGGCGCGAAAGCUAGGGGAGCAAACA